AUUUCUUUUCUUAAAUUUGCUCUAAACAAGAAUGUGUCCAAAGUACACGGAUGCCCCACUCCCACUAUCAUUUUCCAUGUUCAAUGGACCGUGAAAUUGGAUAAAAAAUAUAAUUAGGCAUUAAAAUUAGAAAGAUAAUAUUAGGGAACAUUUGUACUAAGUUUCAAGUUGAUUGGACUUCAACUUCAUCAAAAACUACCUUGACCAAAAACUUUAACCUGAAACAUGCACUUUCAUUUUCUAUGUUCAGUGGACUGUGAAAUUGGGGUCAAAAGUUUAAUUUGGCUUUAAAAUUAGAAAGAUCAUAUCAUAAGGAACAUGUGUACUAAGUUUCAAGUUGAUUGGACUUCAACUUCAUCAAAAACUACCUUGACCAAAAACUUUAACCUGAAGCGGGACAGACGGACGAACGAACAGACGAACGAACGAACAGACGGACAGACGAACGAAC
rnacentral:lncRNA from 1 species